rnacentral:rRNA from 1 species
AACGAACGCUGGCGGCGCGCCUAAUACAUGCAAGUCGAGCGAGAAGACGUAGCAAUACGUUUGUAAAGCGGCGAACGGGUGAGGAAUACAUGGGUAACCUACCCUCGAGUGGGGAAUAACUAGCCGAAAGGUUAGCUAAUACCGCGUACGCUCCUUGGACUUCGGUUCAGGGAGGAAAGCGAUACCGUGGGUAUCGCGCUCUUGGAUGGGCUCAUGUCCUAUCAGCUUGUUGGUGAGGAACGGCUCACCAAGGCUUCGACGGGUAGCUGGUCUGAGAGGACGAUCAGCCACACUGGCACUGCGACACGGGCCAGACUCCUACGGGAGCAGCAGUAAGGAAUAUUGGACAAUGGGCGCAAGCCUGAUCCAGCCAUGCCG